CGGUGGGACACCCCUCCCCAACGAGGGGCGACUAUCUGGAAGGUUAGACACC
rfam:Salipiger mucosus DSM 16094 genomic scaffold scaffold6, whole genome shotgun sequence.